GGUCUGUACUCCAUCCAUACCACACACACCCCUUGUACUCCCAUUUGGAAAGGAGCAGGCUGGGUUACCUGAAGCCAGAGCAGGAGGAACUGCAAAUGCAGGUCUUGCUUUAUGCAGAACAACAGAGCAGCCAGGAGGGGCACUUCCAAGGGUUUGGCAGUCACCAAGUCCUCUUCCCCCAUGGGUGGAUUCCUUUCCUGGGAAAGAAAUCAGAGGAUAUCAGGCACAGACACCAGCUGCUAGAACAAGAGAAGGAACCCAGAGGCAAGUGGAAAUCCACUGUGCUGAGUGCUGUAAGGACAGCUAGAGACAGGCCCUGUCCCAGGCAGCAGAAGAAACAGCAGCAAGCUUCUAAAAGAGCUGGCUUGAAAAAUUCUUGAAAAACAGGUUUCAAAUGAUAAAUGCCAAUUUGACAGAAGAUAAUUGAUGGAAGAAUGCAUCUACUCACUGAAAUUGCUCAGCAGGAACCUUGUUCACCUGUCAGACUCUGCAGGCUGAUGUAUUUCUGUUAGACAGCUCCCAUGCUCCAGGGAAGAUGAGGAAGACUUCCAUGUCUGAAGUUUGUGAGCUUUUGACUUCCAGGUCACUGAGGCAGUGAGAAAUCCUUCUGCAAUGUCUGGAAUGUAGUGCCUUGAAAUCAUUUAACACAGAUGCUGUACUGUGAAAAUAAUAAUCCUGCCUUACAGAUAUAAAGACUCUCUAGAUGCAAGCUGGCCUUACACAAAAAUGUGUACCUCUUUGAAAUUUCAGGUCUUUGCAUCCUUAAAGAAAAGAGUUCUGUUCAGAAAAUGGGAGAGUCUGCCUUGUGCCUAUAGGUCAGUGGAUCUGAUCAUCCACCACCUGUGUUUUUAACCUCAUGAGACUGCAAAAGUCCUUUUAGAGGUAGAGCUGUCAUUUUAUAAUCUGAGCAUUUUGCUUUCCUGCAUCAGGAUUCAUCUUUCACUUGUUCUGGAAGAG
rnacentral:lncRNA from 1 species